rnacentral:rRNA from 1 species
AACGAACGCUGGCGGCAUGCCUAACACAUGCAAGUCGAACGAAAGCUUCGGCCUUAGUGGCGCACGGGUGCGUAACGCGUGGGAAUCUGCCCUUGGGUACGGAAUAACAGCGAGAAAUUGCUGCUAAUACCGUAUGAUGUCGAAAGACCAAAGAUUUAUCGCCUGAGGAUGAGCCCGCGUUGGAUUAGGUAGUUGGUGGGGUAAAGGCCUACCAAGCCGACGAUCCAUAGCUGGUCUGAGAGGAUGAUCAGCCACACUGGGACUGAGACACGGCCCAGACUCCUACGGGAGGCAGCAGUGGGGAAUAUUGGACAAUGGGCGAAAGCCUGAUCCAGCAAUGCCGCGUGAGUGAUGAAGGCCUUAGGGUUGUAAAGCUCUUUUACCCGGGAUGAUAAUGACAGUACCGGGAGAAUAAGCCCCGGCUAACUCCGUG